CAAAAGCUCAAAUUUGAAAUCUGGCGUCUUCGACGUCCGAGUUGUAAUUUGAAGAAGGCGACUUUGUAGCUGGUCCUUGUCUAUGUUCCUUGGAACAGGACGUCAUAGAGGGUGAGAAUCCCGUGUGGCGAGGAUCCCAGUUAUUUGUAAAGUGCUUUCGACGAGUCGAGUUGUUUGGGAAUGCAGCUCUAAGUGGGUGGUAAAUUCCAUCUAAAGCUAAAUAUUGGCGAGAGACCGAUAGCGAACAAGUACAGUGAUGGAAAGAUGAAAAGAACUUUGAAAAGAGAGUGAAAAAGUACGUGAAAUUGUUGAAAGGGAAGGGCAUUUGAUCAGACAUGGCGUUUGCUUCGGCUUUCGCUGGGCCAGCAUCAGUUUUAGCGGUUGGAUAAAUCCUCGGGAAUGUGGCUCUGCUUCGGUAGAGUGUUAUAGCCCGUGGGAAUACAGCCAGCUGGGACUGAGGAUUGCGACUUUUGUCAAGGAUGCUGGCGUAAUGGUUAAAUGCCG
rnacentral:rRNA from 1 species